GAUGAACGCUGACAGAAUGCUUAACACAUUCAAGUCUUUGGCGAAGCUGUGCUUGCACAGCCUAGCCAAGGCGGACGGGUGAGUAACGCGUAAGGAACUUGCCCUGCAGUCAGGGAUAACAGACGGAAACGACUGAUAAGACCUGGUAAAGUCAGGCGGACUCAUGUCCAGCCUGAUGAAAAGAGAUGCUGCAGGAGAGCCUUGCGUCCUAUUAGCUUGUUGGUGGGGUAACGGCCCACCAAGGCGAUGAUAGGUAGCCGGCCUGAGAGGGUGGACGGCCACAAGGGGACUGAGAUACGGCCCUUACUCCUACGGGAGGCAGCAGUGGGGAAUAUUGGACAAUGGGGGCAACCCUGAUCCAGCAAUUCUGUGUGCACGAUGAAGGUUUUCGGAUUGUAAAGUGCUUUCAGCAGGGAAGAAAAAAAUGACGGUACCUGCAGAAGAAGCGACGGCUAAAUACGU
rnacentral:rRNA from 1 species